GAUGAACGCUAGCGGCAGGCCUAAUACACGCAAGUCGAACGGUGUCUUCGGACAUAGUGGCGCACGGGUGCGUAACACGUAUGCAACCUACCUUACAUUGGGGGAUAGCCUUUCGAAAGGGAGAUUAAUACCGCAUAAGACAGUAGCUGGGCAUCCAGCAGCUGUUAAAGAUUUAUCGAUGUAAGCUGGGCAUGCGUCCAAUUAGCUAGUUGGUGAGGUAACGGCUCACCAAGGCAAUGAUUGGUAGGGGAACUGAGAGGUCAAUCCCCCACACUGGCACUGGGAUACGGGCCAGACUCCUACGGGAGGCAGCAGUAGGGAAUAUUGGGCAAUGGACGCAAGUCUGACCCAGCCAUGCCGCGUGCAGGAUGAAGGCGUUAUGCGUUGUAAACUGCUUUUAUACAGGAAGAAACGACUCUUGCGAGAGGCAUUGACGGUACUGUAUGAAUAAGCACCGGCUAACUCCGUGCCAGCCGCCGCGGUAAUAC
rnacentral:rRNA from 1 species